GGUGGAUUAACCGGAGGAUUAGGAGGAUUAACCGGAGGAUUGGGUGGAUUAACCGGAGGAUUCGGUGGAUUAAAUGGAGGAUUAGGUGGAGGAUUUGGUGGAUUGGGUGGACUCAAUGGAGGUCUUAUCGGCGGAGGUUUAGGAUAUCCUACCGGUGGUUAUAAGAAGAAAGUUUAUUAAAGAAUGAACGGAAAUGGAAUUUGCUUCUGUCUAACAGGAUAACAACAUAUGCAGACCAUAAUGUUUCAUGAUGAUGUUUUUAUAUUUUUGAAUAAAUGUUCAUUUCACUGCAACUUAAACAA